CGGUAAUUCCAGCUCUGUAAGCGUAUACCAAAGUUGUUGCAGUUAAAACGCUCGUAGUCGGAGGUUGGCGGGCCGUCCAGGGCGUCCUCGCGGACGGGUCUGGAUGGGCCGCCUUUGUGGCGGGGGGCCCAGUGGAGCUUCAYUGCGUCACUGUGGUCGCUCCCACCGUUUACUGUGAAAAAAUUAGAGUGUUCAAAGCAGGCGUUUGCCAUGAAUACAUUAGCAUGGAAUAAUAGAAUAGGACCUGUUUCCUGUUUUGUUGGUUUGUGAGGAUCAGGUAAUGAUUAAGAGGGACGGUUGGGGGCAUUUGUAUUCCGGCGUCAGAGGUGAAAUUCUUGGAUUGGCGGAAGACAAACGGCUGCGAAAGCGUCUGCCAAGGACGUUUUCAUUGAUCAAGAACGAAAGUAAGGGGAUCGAAGACGAUCAGAUACCGUCGUAGUCUUUACUAUAAACGAUGAGGACUGGGGAUCGGGUAGGACUGUAUUUUGGCCUACCCGGCACCCUUCGGGAAACCAAAGUGUUUGCUUUCUGGGGGGAGUAUGGUCGCAAGGCUGAAACUUAAAGGAAUUGACGGAAGGGCAUCACCGGGUGUGGA
rnacentral:rRNA from 1 species